rnacentral:rRNA from 1 species
UUCAACAUAUAUCACCCUGUAGCCCAAGACUGGUCACCCACUGAAGGUAAGCAGGGCUGAGCCUGGUCAGUACCUGGAUGGGAGACCGCCUGCGAAAACUAGGUUACUGCUGGAA